rnacentral:lncRNA from 1 species
AGCUAAGUGGCUAUACUAAUAACAUACAAAAGGGACUUAAAGACAUUUUUUUUUCACUAAAGACAAAGAAGGACAUGUCAUAAUGAUAAAAGGGUCUGUUCAUCAGAAAGAAAUAGAAAUACAGAUGCACUUAACAGAGCUUCAAAAUUUAUGAAACAAAAGCUGACAAAACUGAAGGAUUCAAUACCUCACAUUCAAUAUCAAUAUAACUGGGCAGAAGAUCAAUAAGGGAAGAGAAGACAUAAACAAUCAGACUACAAACCAAUCAGACCUAACAGGCUUCUAUACAACACUACAAACCAAUCAGACCCAACAGGCUUCUAUACAACACUACAAACCAACCUCUGACCCAACAGGCAUCUAUACAACACACACACCAACCUCUGACCCAACAGGCAUCUAUACAACACUACAAACCAACCUCUGACCCAACAGGCAUCUAUACAACACUAGAAACCAAUCAGACCCAACAGGCAUCUAUACAACACUACAAACCAACCUCUGACCCAACAGGCUUCUAUGCAACACUACAAACCAAUGAGACCCAACACACAUCUAUACAACUCUACAAACCAAUCAGACCCAACAGGCAUCUAUACAACACUACAAACCAAUCAGACCCAACAGGCAUCUAUACAACACUACAAACCAACCUCUGACCCAACAGGCAUCUAUACAACACUACAAACCAAUCAGACCCAACAGGCAUCUAUACAACACUACAAACCAACCUCUGACCCAACAGGUGUCUAUACAACACUACAAACCAAUCAGACCCAACAGGCAUCUAUACAACACUCCACCCAACAAGAGCAGGAUAGAUAUUCUUCAACACUCUGGGACAGAAAAUACGGUAUGCCAAUAAAAUAACUCUCAAUACAUAUAAAAGACGAGAAAUCAUACAAUCUAUGUUUUUUAGCCAUAAUGGAGUGAAAUAAGAAAUCAGUAACAGGCCAGGUAUGGUAGCUCAUGCUUGUAAUCCCAGCACUUUGGGAGGCAAAAGUGGCAGGAUCACUUGAGCCCAGGAGUUCCAACACAGCCUGGGCAACAUAGUCGGACCCUGUCUCUACAACAAAAUUUUUAAAAAUUUAGCCAGGCUUGGUGGCUCAUGCCUGUAGUCUCAGCUACUCAGGAGGCUGAGGUGGGAGGUCAAGGCUGCAGUGAGCUGCGAUCACUGCACUGCACUCCAGCCUGGGAGAUAAAGUGAGAUCUUGUCUCUCAAAAAUAAGAAAAGAAGUCAAUAACAGAAGGAAACCUGGGAAAUUCACAUAUAUGUGGAAAUUAAACAACAAACUCUUAAAUAACCAAGAGAUAAAAGAAGAAAUCACCAGAAAAAUCAGAAUAUACUUUUAGAUUUAAAAAAGGGAAAACACAAUAUAGCAGAACUUAAGGGAUGAAGUAAAUCAGUGCUGAGAUAAAAAUUUAUAGCUACAAAUGUCUAUAUGAAAAAGAUUUCAAAUCAGUAAGCUAAUUUUCCAUCUUAAGAAACAAGAAAAAGAAGAGAAAAUAAAACCCAAAGCAACCCAAAGGAAAUAAUAAAGAUUACAGUGGAAAUUAACAAAAUAAAGAAUGGAAAAUCAUAGGGGAUAAUAAACAAAACCAGAAGUUGUUUCUUUAAAUAGAUCAACAAAAUUGAUAAAUCUUUAGCUAGACUAAGGGGAGUAAAAGAGAGAAGAAUCAAAUUACUAAAACCAGAAAAUACUAUGAAUAGGCUGGGAGCAUUGGCUAACAUCCACAAUCCCAGCACUUUGAGAGGUCAAGGUGGGAGGGUCACUUGAGGCCAGGAGUUUGACAAAGAUCAGCCUGGACAACACAGCAAGAUCCUGUCUCCACAAAAAAAUUUUAAAGAAAAUUAGGGCUGGGUGUGGUGGCUCAUGCCUGUAAUCCCAGCACUUUGCUAGGCUAAGACAGGAAAAUUUCUUGAGGCCAGGAGUUUGAGACCAGCCUAGCCAACAUAGUGAGACCCCAUCUCUACCAAAAAUAAGCUUUUAAAAAAUUAGCCAGUCAUACUGCCAUGCCCCUGUAGUCUUAGCUACUCAGGAAGCUGAGAUGGGAAGAUUGCUUGAGUCUGGGAGGUCAAAGCUGUAGUGAGCCAUGAUUGUGCUACUGUACUCCAGCCUGGGUGACAGAGCAAGACUCUGUCUCAAACAAAACAAAACCAAAGACAGAAAAUUAGCUGAAUGUGGUGGUGCAUGCCUGUGGUCCUUCCUACUGGGGAGGCUGAGGUGGGAGGAUCACUUGGGCCCAUGAGUCUGAGGUUGGAGUGAGCUAUGAUUGCACCACUGCACUCCAGCCUGGGCAACAGAGUGAGACCUUGUCAGUUAAAAAAAUUUUUUUUAAUGCUAUGAACCAUUAUAUAUGAACAGAUUGCAACAAAGAACCUAGAAAGGGACAAACUCCUGGAAAGAUGCAAACUACUGGAACUAAACAGAUCUAUAAUAAAUGAAGAUACUGAAUUAGGGAAAAAAAUCCCACAAAGAAAAGCCCAGCCUUCACUGGUAAAUUCCACCAAAUGUUUAAAUAAUUAACAACAAUCUUUCACAAACUCUUCCAAAAAAUAGGAGGGGAGGGAACACUUCCCACCUCAAUCUAUGAGGUCAGUAGUGACGUGACUAAAGCUAAAGACAUCACAAAAAGACUACAGCCCAAUAUCCCUCAUGAAUACAGAUGCAAAAUCCUAGCAAACCAAAGCCAGCAGCAUAGAAAAAGGAUUAUACACCAUGAACAAGUAGAAUUUGCCCCAUGAAUGCAAGGUCGGUUCAAUAUAUGAGAAACAAUGUAAUAUACUGUAUCACUAUAAUAAAGGACAAGAAUCAUACUAUCAUCUCGACAGAUGGAGAAAAAGCAUCUGACAAAAUUCAAUACUUUAUGACAAAAACACUCAACAAACUAGGAGGAGAAGGUAACUUUUUCAACCUGAUAGAAGCAUCUACACAAAACUGCAUUGUUAGCAUCACAUUCAAUGGUGAGAGACCGAAAGCUUCCCGCUAAGAUCAAGAGUAAGACGAGGAUGUCUGUUCUCACCACAUCUAUUCAACAUUGUCCUGGAGGUACUAGCCAGAGCAAUUAGGUAAGAGAAAUAAAAGAAAUCCAGAUUAGAAAGAAAGCUGUUUGCAGAUGACAUGAUUUUGUGUAUGGAAAAUCUUAGGGAACAUACAACUAAUUAGAAUGAAUAAACAAGUUCAGCAAGGAAUGCUGGAUACAAGAUCAAUACACAAAAGUCAGUUGUACUUCCACAUAUUAGCAAUGAUCAGCCCCAAAGUGAAAUUUGGAAAACAAUUACAUUUGUGAUUGCUUUUGUAAAUGCAAUUUAUAAUCUUUUAAUAAUUUAUAAUUGCAUUUAUAGUCCUUUUGGUUAUAAAUCAAAAAUAAUAAAAUAUGAGUAAAUUUAAC